GCGACGUGUUAUGUUAAAUAUGCUAGUCCUUUCAUGAUUAUGUGAUAGGUGGUGCAUGGCCGUUCUUAGUUCGUGGAGUGAUCUGUCUGCUUAAUUGCGUUUCACCAAGGGCCUAUAAUUUUACGUGUGUUGCGGCACUUUGACCCCUCUUUUUUUAAAGAGCGCGUGUCUUGGUUUGCUUAGCUCGCACAAUUAGGUCCUGAAAGCAACGAACGUGACCGCAACCUCUUGUUGCCUUUAUACCAAACGUGCAUAUGU
rnacentral:rRNA from 1 species